UUCCUAAAAAACACGUACUGGGUAUUCUGUCAUGAUUUUAUAUAUAUAUAUAUAUAUAUAUAUAUAUAUAUAUAUGAAAUCAUGACAGAAGACCCAGUACAUGUUUUUUAGGAA
rnacentral:miRNA from 1 species